CACUCGUCCAACGGUAGGACAAUCGGUUUGUCACCGAUCGCUGCAGGUUCGAAUCCCGCGUGAUCCA
rnacentral:tRNA from 1 species